rnacentral:rRNA from 1 species
CGUGGUGUGAACUGUCUGCUUAAUUGCGAUAACGAGCGAGACUCCGACUGUUAAAUAGUGGAAGGUUUAUUAUUGACCUUUACAUUUCUUAACGGGAUUCGCAACUUCAAGUUGCAAGAAAUGGAGCAAUAACAGGUCUGUGAUGCCCUUAGAUGUCCGGGGCAGCACGCGUGCUACAAUGAUGGUAACAGCGUGAUUGUCCUCGCCCGACAGGGCUUGGCAAACAGUUGAGAUAUUAUUAUGGCUGGAAUUGAGUGUUGAAAUUUUCUCUCAUGAACGAGGAAUUCCAAGUAAAUGCGAGUCAUCAACUCGCAUUGAAUACGUCCCUGCCCUUUGUAC